rnacentral:rRNA from 1 species
UACGAAGGGGGCUAGCGUUGUUCGGAAUCACUGGGCGUAAAGGGCGCGUAGGCGGCCGAUCAAGUCGGGGGUGAAAGCCUGUGGCUUAACCACAGAAUGGCCUUCGAUACUGUUUGGCUUGAGACCGGAAGAGGUUAGUGGAACUGCGAGUGUAGAGGUGAAAUUCGUAGAUAUUCGCAAGAACACCAGUGGUGAAGGCGGCUGACUGGUCCGGUUCUGACGCUGAGGCGCGAAAGCUAGGGGAGCAAACAGG